rnacentral:rRNA from 1 species
GACGAACGCUGGCGGCGUGCUUAACACAUGCAAGUCGAACGGAAAGGCCCUGCUUUUGUGGGGUGCUCGAGUGGCGAACGGGUGAGUAACACGUGAGUAACCUGCCCUUGACUUUGGGAUAACUUCAGGAAACUGGGGCUAAUACCGGAUAGGAGCUCCUGCUGCAUGGUGGGGGGUGGAAAUUUUCGGCGGUUGGGGAUGGACUCGCGGCUUAGCAGCUUGUUGGUGGGGUAGUGGCUUACCAAGGCUUUGACGGGUAGCCGGCCUGAGAGGGUGACCGGGCACCUUGGGACUGAGAUACGGACCAGACUCCUACGGGAGGCAACAGUGGGGAAUAUUGCACAGUGGGCGGAAGCCGGAUGAAGCAACGCCGCGUGCGGGAUGACGGCCUGUGGGGUGUAAACAGCUUUCGCCUGUGACGCAGCGUGAGUGACGGUAAUGGGUAAAGAAGCACCGGCUAACUACGUG